AUACCAGCUGGCUGCAACUGUUUAUUAAAAACACAGCACUGUGCAAACACGAAAGUGGACGUAUACGGUGUGACGCCUGCCCGGUGCCGGAAGGUUAAUUGAUGGGGUUAUCCGUAAGGAGAAGCUCUUGAUCGAAGCCCCGGUAAACGGCGGCCGUAACUAUAACGGUCCUAAGGUAGCGAAAUUCCUUGUCGGGUAAGUUCCGACCUGCACGAAUGGCGUAAUGAUGGCCAGGCUGUCUCCACCCGAGACUCAGUGAAAUUGAACUCGCUGUGAAGAUGCAGUGUACCCGCGGCAAGACGGAAAGACCCCGUGAACCUUUACUAUAGCUUGACACUGAACACUGGUCCUUGAUGUGUAGGAUAGGUGGGAGGCUUUGAAGUGUGGACGCCAGUCUGCAUGGAGCCAUCCUUGAAAUACCACCCUUUAAUGGCUGGUGUUCUAACGUGGACCCGUUACCCGGGUUGCGGACAGUGUCUGGUGGGUAGUUUGACUGGGGCGGUCUCCUCCUAAAGAGUAACGGAGGAGCACGAAGGUUAGCUAAUCCUGGUCGGACAUCAGGAGGUUAGUGCAAAGGCAUAAGCUAGCUUGACUGCGAGAGUGACGGCUCGAGCAGGUGCGAAAGCAGGUCUUAGUGAUCCGGUGGUUCUGAAUGGAAGGGCCAUCGCUCAACGGAUAAAAGGUACUCCGGGGAUAACAGGCUGAUACCGCCCAAGAGUUCAUAUCGACGGCGGUGUUUGGCACCUCGAUGUCGGCUCAUCACAUCCUGGGGCUGAAGUAGGUCCCAAGGGUAUGGCUGUUCGCCAUUUAAAGUGGUACGCGAGCUGGGUUUAGAACGUCGUGAGACAGUUCGGUCCCUAUCUGCCGUGGGCGCUGGAGAAUUGAGGGGGGCUGCUCCUAGUACGAGAGGACCGGAGUGGACGCAUCACUGGUGUUCGGGUUGUCAUGCCAAUGGCAUUGCCCGGUAGCUAAAUGCGGAAGAGAUAAGUGCUGAAAGCAUCUAAGCACGAAACUUGCCCCG
rnacentral:rRNA from 1 species